rnacentral:rRNA from 1 species
CUACGGGUCGCUCCAGUGGGGAAUAUUGCGCAAUGGGCGAAAGCCUGACGCAGCAACGCCGUGUGAGGGAUGAAGGCUUUCGGGUCGUAAACCUCUGUCGGAAGGGAAGAACGGGCAUUGGUCUAAUAGGCCUUUGUUUUGACGGUACCUUUAGAGGAAGCACCGGCUAACUCCGUGCCAGCAGCCGCGGUAAUACGGAGGGUGCAAGCGUUAUUCGGAAUUACUGGGCGUAAAGCGCACGUAGGCGGCCUUGUAAGUCAGGGGUGAAAUCCCACGGCUCAACCGUGGAACUGCCUUUGAAACUGCAGGGCUCGAAUCCUGGAGAGGGUGGCGGAAUUCCUGGUGUAGGAGUGAAAUCCGUAGAUAUCAGGAGGAACACCGGUGGCGAAGGCGGCCACCUGGACAGGUAUUGACGCUGAGGUGCGAAAGUGUGGGGAGCAAACAGGAUUAGAUACCCCAGUAGUC